rnacentral:sRNA from 1 species
CAUGUAUCGAUGCGUGAAGAGGCCUU